GAAUUCCCAGAGCUGUGCCAGUUUAAGGGCUACCCACAGGCAUCUCUAUGCUUUGCCAUUUGCCCCUGUAAGAAGUAAGGUCGGGAGUCCUGGAGAAGUCAAGCUCAAGUCGUCCUUUGUAACGACACUAAAGCUCACCUUGAGUUCACUUCACACGGGCCAGUCACAACCACUUAAUUCUGUCCUCACAGCCCAUCAGCAGGCACUGUGGUGUUUCUAUCUUAUGGAGGAGGACGCCAGGGCUUGCCCAACGCUAUCACCUUGCCAGAGUCGUGCUGCUGAAUGAUGGCAGAUCUAGGGUGCUGUCGUGGGUGUCUCUGUCUCCCUCCCACAUCCCAGUCUCUACCCACCAUACUCCCUGGAAGUGGAGAGCAAUCACAGAUCUGCUGGUUUCUUUCUCUGCACCUGGCAACCUCUGGAGGGCAAGGCCUGCACUUUUCCAGCUGUGACACCAGCCCAUGUGUCUCAUAUCAUUUCUCUCUCAUGUAGCAAGAAUUUCUCCCCAGAAAGGAGGUGGCAAAGAUGGGCAGGGGGUGCAAAGGUGGGGGCUCUGACAGCCAGGUUCCAGGGUGCACUGCUGAGCCAGCCCACAACCAUGGUGAGGCAGGGAGAUUCCGCAGGACUCCGUAUCCGUGCUUUGAAGAUGGCUUUCGUGCUUUUAGUCUUUUCUUUGUUCAUUUGUUGUUUGUUUUCUGAUGAUGUUUUAGUAAAAAGUUCUUUUGAAAAUCCCAA
ensembl:lncRNA novel transcript